AAAAUUAUAUUGAGGCUGAAUAUGGUUAAUAUUUCAUGCUUAACAUGACAUUCAUAGCGACUAUUCCAAUUUAUAUAGAGACUAUUGCGAGAGGAAAUCUUACAGUGUGGCUAGCUUAGAAAGCUUUUGAAACGUGUCACUCAGUCCAUUCUGUAGUUGAUUGUGAGCAACAUUUCUGCA